UCGUGAACAUCUAAAAUUUUAAUUUUCGCUCCAAAAAUUUCAAACACCAAAUUGUUAAAAAAACCCAUUGUACAGUUUCCUCUGCCUUCCCACUUUCACGGAAACACAAGCUAUUUUCUCUUAAGUCCUUCCCGGCCCCUAUUUGAUUUCCCCCAUCUGAUUUCUCUCUCAUCUCUCGUUCUCGACCUCCACAUUCUACAUCUCCCUUGGGAGUCUGUCAAAUUCGCGAUGCCUAGUUGAAGAUUCUCGAGCGUCGCCGGCGAUUCGAAUCAAGGUAAAACUCGUUUCUUCCCCGAUUUGGGGUUGAAAAGGGUAACCAAAUUUCUUAAGAAUCAUGCAAAGGGUUUUUUUUAGAUCUCCUGGGUCGACUUUCUUUAGAAAUUCUGUGAUUGAUGGAAAUUCGGGGCUUAGGGUUGAUGAGAAUUCAAGAUGUAUAUGAGAGAAGGAAAGGAAGACGAAGAGAGCGAAAGUUCGACCUCGCACCUCUUUAUUUCAUUUGAUUGAAUAUGAGAGAAGUGGGUUUUGAUAGGCACACCAAGUGUUUGUGGAAAGAGUCUUCGAUGUGGAGUCCAAAAGAGUCUUCGAUUUGUUUGUCGGUUUCUGUAGUUGCAGGACAGAAGCGUUGCUUUUGCAGCAACAAAUUUCAGUGGAAUUCAAUCAAUGGAACAUGUGACAUUAAGAAGUGUAGCGAAAAUAAGCACUGUUCUAAUUUUCUAAAUACAGAAAUCAUAAGAAGCUAUAUCAAGGUACUCUUAAUUUCUAAAAACCACCCCCCUUGAUUAUAGGAGAAUGUUUUGUUUCUUUUUUUUUUUUCCUGCCAGCAGUUCAUAAUUGAGAACAAAUACUUGUCUUCAGGUUUGACAUUCACAACGUCUGGAAUCGUAAUCAUCAUAAUAUUUUUUUUUCUCUGUUGUGCCACCCAUUUUCCACCGAGAUAUAAAAUCAAGUAACAUAUUACUAGAUGAAAAAGCUUGAUGCUAAAGUUUCUGAUUUUAGCCUCUCAAGGCUUGUAGACACUGAGGCUACUCAUAUUUCCACUUGUGCUCAACUAGGAUACCUUGAUCCAGAUUAUCAGAAUUACCAAUUAACUGACCGAAGUGAUGUUUACAGCUAUGGUGUGGUUCUUUUAGAGCUUCUUACUUCCAAGAAAGCUAUAGAUUUUAAUAGGGAAGAUGACGUAAACCUUGCUGUUUAUGUAAGAAAGUUGGCAGAUGCAGAGAGAUUGUUAGAUGCGGUUGACCCAGAACUUACAAUGCAGCCAAUAGUACGAUCAUACAAUUUGAGAAAGGUUCAACACCAAAAUAACUUGGGUAAUGAAACAAAAGGAUCUUAAACAACAGCUCUAUUAAAGAGUUUUAUUAUAUGUAUACAGUUUGUCAUCUAGUUAUGUUAUGUAUAUAUUGUCUCUCUCUAAUCAUGCUAAGUGUAAUAUCAAUGACUCUAGUAUAGAGUUAAUGUUUGAUCCAGUUAUAUUAUGUAUAUAGUAUCUUUCCUCUGAUCAUGCCAAGUGUAAUAGAAUGGCUCUAGUAUAGAGAUAUUGUUUGAUCUUGUUAUUUUUGUUUGGUUUUGGAGUCAAUUUUGGGAAAAGUAAAAAAGGGAGGAAGAAUGAGAUUUUGGACAAGAAGCAAGAGCUUGAUGCCGAACAGAAUAGUUAAGCGAAAAACAGGAAGCUAAUCUUUAAUAGAUCUCUAAUAAUACUGUAAGGAAUACGAAAAUCAGGUUUGUCACACUAGUUCCGUCUCUACCUGUAGUUGGUCGUGAUGUUUGGUUCCUAAUGCAACUUGCUUAUUGAUUCCAGGAGAAAGUGACUAUCUCUAUGUGAAGAGAGGCUAAGUUGAAGGGUGGAUUCUUUGUCGAGGCUGAAGCUAAGCUCCUCUUUAUCAUUCAUAAUAGAGGCAGUCAUGACAUCAGCAACAAUCACCUCAGAGGGGGGAGAUGAUGCCGAACUAGAAACCAAAAACAUGGGACUCCUGUUUCGCCAACAUGAAGGCAUAGAAGAUGACAGUUGUUACUCACAGAACACGGUGGUGCGACACGUGGUGCUAUUAAUCAACCAAGUUAACCAUGGUUAAUUAAGGGGUCAAUUGGCAAUUCCAUGAGCCAAGCUACUGAUGAUAUUAAUUGAUUAUGAAAUAUUUGAUAGCUUUUGAUUUUUGUUUGAGUUGUUACUUACACGAACAUAGUAGUAAUUUAUAUAUAAUAAGUUUUCUGAGAAAAACCAUGAAUUUUGUUUUAGUUUAUUGGUUAAUAGCCUUGUAAUAUAUUAUGCCCAUG